rnacentral:rRNA from 1 species
UACGUAGGGUGCAAGCGUUAAUCGGAAUUACUGGGCGUAAAGCGUGCGCAGGCGGUGAUGUAAGACAGGUGUGAAAUCCCCGGGCUUAACCUGGGAACUGCAUUUGUGACUGCAUCGCUGGAGUGCGGCAGAGGGGGAUGGAAUUCCGCGUGUAGCAGUGAAAUGCGUAGAUAUGCGGAGGAACACCGAUGGCGAAGGCAAUCCCCUGGGCCUGCACUGACGCUCAUGCACGAAAGCGUAGGGAGCAAACAGG